GGAUCUGGGAAUUCUUUUUUCGCGAUGUCGGGAUUUAAAUUUAUUUAAAUUCGGGACCUUGUGACUUCGUGUUUUUAAGCCCGGGAUUUCGAGAUCCGGACCCCUUUUACCCCCUACCCCCAAAUGCAGAUCAAUUAUAUUAAUUUAGCAUAAUGAACAAACACGGAAAUCUUAAAUAAACUUAUGCCCGGGAAGAAUCAAUAUUUUCUUCUAGUGUUAUUAUUUGCGUUCUAUUUUAGUCAUACAUCUCCAACUUUCGGACAAUAUUUGUUUACAGUAAAAAAUAAAAACUACAAAGAAUCAUCAAG
rnacentral:lncRNA from 1 species